rnacentral:rRNA from 1 species
CCUACGGGAGGCAGCAGUAGGGAAUAUUGCUCAAUGGGGGGAACCCUGAAGCAGCAACGCCGCGUGGAGGAUGAAGGUUUUCGGAUUGUAAACUCCUUUUGUUAGGGAAGAUAAUGACGGUAUCUAACGAAUAAGCACCGGCUAACUCCGUGCCAGCAGCCGCGGUAAUACGGAGGGUGCCAGCGUUACUCGGAAUCACUGGGCGUAAAGAGGGCGUAGGCGGGAUAGCAAGUCAGAUGUGAAAUCCUAUGGCUUAACCAUAGAACUGCAUUUGAAACUGUUAUUCUAGAGUAUGGGAGAGGUAGGUGGAAUUCUUGGUGGAGGGGUAAAAUCCGUAGAGAUCAAGAGGAAUACUCAUUGCGAAGGCGACCUGCUAGAACAUAACUGACGCUGAUGCGCGAAAGCGUGGGGAGCAAACAGGAUUAGAUACCCCAGUAGUC